rnacentral:rRNA from 1 species
AUUGAACGCUGGCGGCAUGCCUUACACAUGCAAGUCGAACGGUAACGCGGGGCAACCUGGCGACGAGUGGCGAACGGGUGAGUAAUGUAUCGGAACGUGCCCAGUUGUGGGGGAUAACUGCACGAAAGAGCAGCUAAUACCGCAUACGACCUGAGGGUGAAAGCGGGGGAUCGCAAGACCUCGCGCAAUUGGAGCGGCCGAUAUCAGAUUGGGUAGUUGGUGAGGUAAAGGCUCACCAAGCCGACGAUCUGUAGCUGGUCUGAGAGGACGACCAGCCACACUGGGACUGAGACACGGCCCAGACUCCUACGGGAGGCAGCAGUGGGGAAUUUUGGACAAUGGACGCAAGUCUGAUCCAGCCAUGCCGCGUGCGGGAAGAAGGCCUUCGGGUUGUAAACCGCUUUUGUCAGGGAAGAAACGCUCUGGGUUAAUACCUCGGGGUAAUGACGGUACCUGAAGAAUAAGCACCGGCUAACUACGUGCCAGCCGCCGCCGUAACAC